AAUUUGAAUUUCCUCGUCAAGGAAUAGAUAAAUAAUUUUUAUAGAGCGUAAGUCUCUCAAAAGGUAAUGGAAAUUAACAAAGGUUUUCUCAAGCAAAACAAAGAUGGACCUUGAGUGCAAAGGUAAAAGGGAGUUUGACUACAAGAUCCACCCGUCGAAUAGGGACAAAAGCCGACCUUAAUGAUCUAACGAUAUCGAAUUGAAGGGUUAUCACUCAAUAUAUAAAAAUUA
rnacentral:ncRNA from 1 species